rnacentral:rRNA from 1 species
GACAGAGGGUGCAAACGUUGCUCGGAAUCACUGGGCGUAAAGGGCGUGUAGGCGGGAAGGAAAGUCAGAUGUGAAAUCCCUGGGCUCAACCCAGGAACUGCGUCCGAUACUGGAAGGCUUGAAUCCGGGAGAGGGAUGCGGAAUUCCAGGUGUAGCGGUGAAAUGCGUAGAUAUCUGGAGGAACACCGGUGGCGAAGGCGGCAUCCUGGACCGGUAUUGACGCUGAGGCGCGAAAGCCAGGGGAGCAAACGGG